rnacentral:lncRNA from 1 species
AUGCAAAUUCUGGAGUAAUACACCUGGCCUGCCUAGAGAUGUUACAAGUGGCCUAAUGGAUUUUUCUAGCCUGGACGCCCACUGGGGACAAGGAUCAUUACUGACAGGAUUGUAUCUCUACCCUUGACUCCAUGGGAAUAUUUGGUCUGCUCUCUCGGGCUCCCUCUAAAAUGGUUGACAGAGCUGAGGCUCACAACAGGCUGAACAUGUGCCUGAUGCUUUGCACAGGGUCAGGACCAGCUUCUGGGGAGGGUGAGCAUUGGUUGGCCCUGAGAAGAUUCUAAGGAGCCAGCAUAUCCUUUAAGCAUUCCAGAAGGAUUUUGAGAACCAUCCUUUCCUAAAUCAAAGCUAGAAUAUUUGGAGAUUUGGAAAAUUGAGGUCAGAUCAGAAGGACUUCUCGGAAAGCUGGACCUCAUGGCACUCACCGAUCAUUCUGAUAUCCAGAGAAGCCGAGGUGAGAAGCAUUGAUUUAAGAGAUG